rnacentral:rRNA from 1 species
CUACGGGGGGCACCAGUGGGGAAUCUUGGACAAUGGGCGCAAGCCUGAUCCAGCCAUGCCGCGUGAGUGAAGAAGGCCUUAGGGUCGUAAAGCUCUUUCGCCAGAGAUGAUAAUGACAGUAUCUGGUAAAGAAACCCCGGCUAACUCCGUGCCAGCAGCCGCGGUAAUACGGAGGGGGUUAGCGUUGUUCGGAAUUACUGGGCGUAAAGCGCGCGUAGGCGGAUUAGUCAGUCAGAGGUGAAAUCCCAGGGCUCGACCCUGGAACUGCCUCUGAUACUGCUAGUCUUGAGUUCGAGAGAGGUGAGUGGAAUUCCGAGUGUAGAGGUGAAAUUCGUAGAUAUUCGGAGGAACACCAGUGGCGAAGGCGGCUCACUGGCUCGAUACUGACGCUGAGGUGCGAAAGUGUGGGGAGCAAACAGGAUUAGAUACCCCGGUAGUC